rnacentral:rRNA from 1 species
GACGAACGCUGGCGGCGUGCUUAACACAUGCAAGUCGAACGGAAAGGCCCUGCUUUUGUGGGGUGCUCGAGUGGCGAACGGGUGAGUAACACGUGAGUAACCUGCCCUUGACUUUGGGAUAACUUCAGGAAACUGGGGCUAAUACCGGAUAGGAGCUCCUGCUGCAUGGGGGGGGUUGGAAAGUUUCGGCGGUUGGGGAUGGACUCGCGGCUUAUCAGCUUGUUGGUGGGGUAGUGGCUUACCAAGGCUUUGACGGGUAGCCGGCCUGGGAGGGUGACCGGCCACAUUGGGACUGAGAUACGGCCCAGACUCCUACGGGAGGCAGCAGUGGGGAAUAUUGCACAAUGGGCGGAAGCCUGAUGCAGCAACGCCGCGUGCGGGAUGACGGCCUUCGGGUUGUAAACCGCUUUCGCCUGUGACGAAGCGUGAGUGACGGUAAUGGGUAAAGAAGCACCGGCUAACUACGUG